GUUGGACAACUAGGUGCCCAUGACCAACUCCUCAUUGUGGAUGGAUUUAGUCUGGUUGGACUUUCUCAGGAAAGGGCAGCAGAACUCAUGACUAGUACCAGUCCCAUGGUUACCCUGGAAGUUGCAAAUCAAGGCAUCCUCUUUCACUGCCUGUCCACCUUUCUUACCCAGCCAUUGUCCUCCAUGGUGCAGAGAGCACAGAUCUCAUCUGGUCCUGGAGAAAGUCCUUAUCCUGGUCUGUGGCGUCAGGAGACUUGUAGGGGUGCGUGAAGCCGACUUCUGGUACAUCUUUGUCUCUGGCUCAGUGCUAAACAUCCUGCCCUCAGUGUAUGAUGGGUAUGCCAUGGCUCCUGCAUUUAAAGGAAUGUUAUGUUUAUUUUACUUGUUAUUUAAUGUGACACUUGGG
ensembl:lncRNA